rnacentral:rRNA from 1 species
UACGGAGGGUGCGAGCGUUGUCCGGAAUCACUGGGCGUAAAGGGCGCGUAGGCGGCCUGAUAAGUAGGGGGUGAAAUCCUGCGGCUUAACCGCAGGGCUGCCUUCUAAACUGUCAGGCUCGAGCACAGUAGAGGCAGGUGGAAUUCCCGGUGUAGCGGUGGAAUGCGUAGAGAUCGGGAGGAACACCAGUGGCGAAGGCGGCCGGCUGGGGGUGACCUGACGCUGAGGCGCGAAAGCGUGGGGAGCGAACCGG